rnacentral:tRNA from 2 species
GGAAGGGNAGCGAAGAGGCUAAACGCGGCGGACUGUAAAUCCGCUCCUUCGGGUUCGGGGGUUCGAAUCCCUCCCCUUCCA